rnacentral:rRNA from 1 species
AGCAGCCGCGGUAAUUCCAGCUCCAAUAGCGUAUAUUAAAGUUGUUGCAGUUAAAAAGCUCGUAGUUGAAUUUCGGGAUUUAUCCGUCGGUCGGGCUUUUGGGUCUGUACUGGCGUGAUGGAUUCCUACCUUCUGAAUAACCGGCAUGUCAUUAAUUUGGUGCGCCGGGGAAGCAGGACUGUUACCUUGAAAAAUUAGAGUGCUUAAAGCAGGCUUAUGCCUGAAUACAUUAGCAUGGAAUAAUGAAAUAGGACGGCAUGGUUCUAUUUUGUUGGUUUAUAGGAUCACCGUAAUGAUUAAUAGGGAUAGUUGGGGGCAUUAGUAUUCAAUUGUCAGAGGUGAAAUUCUUGGAUUUAUUGAAGACUAACUUCUGCGAAAGCAUUUGCCAAGGAUGUUUUCAUUAAUCAAGAACGAAAGUUAGGGGAUCGAAGACGAUCGGAUACCGUCGUA